rnacentral:tRNA from 1 species
GGGGGUAUAGUAUAAUUGGUAGAACUUAUGCUUUGCAAGCAUAAAGCACCAGUUCAAAUCUGGUUAUCUCCA